rnacentral:rRNA from 1 species
GACGAACGCUGGCGGCGUGCCUAAUACAUGCAAGUAGAACGCUGAAGGAGGGGCUUGCUUCUCCGGAUGAGUUGCGAACGGGUGAGUAACGCGUAGGUAACCUGCCUGGUAGCGGGGGAUAACUAUUGGAAACGAUAGCUAAUACCGCAUAACAGUAGAUGUUGCAUGACAUUUGCUUAAAAGGUGCAAUUGCAUCACUACCAGAUGGACCUGCGUUGUAUUAGCUAGUUGGUGAGGUAACGGCUCACCAAGGCGACGAUACAUAGCCGACCUGAGAGGGUGAUCGGCCACACUGGGACUGAGACACGGCCCAGACUCCUACGGGAGGCAGCAGUAGGGAAUCUUCGGCAAUGGACGGAAGUCUGACCGAGCAACGCCGCGUGAGUGAAGAAGGUUUUCGGAUCGUAAAGCUCUGUUGUAAGAGAAGAACGAGUGUGAGAGUGGAAAGUUCACACUGUGACGGUAUCUUACCAGAAAGAGACGGCUAACUACGUG